rnacentral:tRNA from 1 species
AGGGGUAUAGCUGAGCGGUAGGUAGAGGGUGUACUUGAAGUGUACAAGGUCCUGGGUUCAAUCCUCAGUGCCUCUG